rnacentral:lncRNA from 1 species
ACUUUUGAAAACUUUUUAUUCUUCCUGAGACGUUUUCCACAAGUGACCAGAACUAGCUGGGACCAUUAAGACCUGUAGAGACGAGGGUUGCUAUAGAACAGAUAAAGACAAACAUAGUAAGACUAACACAAAUAAGCCCAGGAAGAUGGAGGGGAGAGGGGCCAAGUCAGGUGGGCACAGCUGCUUUCCUUUCCUCUAAAUAGGAAAGGAAACAGACAGAAUGUACUCAUGACCACUGUCUUAAGAGCAGCAAAGGUAACAGAGAGACUGCAGAAUCCUCCACAGAGCAGGAUGUAGUCACCAUCCCCUUCAUCUUGUUUUUUUUGUUGUUGUGGUUGCUUCCCUCAAGCCUCAAUUUUGUCCCUAGAAAACAUCACACAGAGAAAUUUUUGGCCAUACCUCUCCUCCAAAGAUGAUAACGCCUACUCUGGCUUUUAAAAAUUAAUUCCAAGUGUCCUUUGGCUAAAAAACGAACAUGUUGCAUGCAUUUCCUCUGCAACCAUCACUGUCCUGCCCCACCCCCACCCUCAUUCAAGGAGAGCUUUGGAAUGAGAACAUUUGAUUAGGGUAAGAGUGUGAUGAAAUAGGCUGGUCUUUCCUAUCACAGCUACUGCAAUUGGAAUAAAGAUUUAAGUUCAAGAAACACUAACCAGAACAUUCCGUGCUGAGAUGCUUUGUCAGAUAAAGGGAGUCCUCCCACUAGCCGGUGUCUGUGGGUUUUGCAGGGUUCCUAUUCCAUGGCCUCAGAAGUCCCAGGCCCCUCUUGUGAAGAGAUAGGUUCUAAAGGUCUUUCUCCUAGGGGCACACAGAGCUGCUAAGUCCUGGAUGUGAAGACAGUGCUGGCGAGGGAGACAUUCUGGAAGCUUUUAGGCAGAGCAGCUGUGCCUCUGAGUGGCUACACCAGUAAAGCCACUUGUAGAGAGCCAUGCCCCAGUACUGUCAGACUCUUUGGGAUAUCUGAAAAACGCCGUUGGCUCCCUGGCCUGCUAACAGGGCUAACGUGUCACCUGAAUCUCUAAUGGAGACCCAUUGAGGGCACCCAAUUUCCAGGAAAGAAGUUCUACAGUUACUGGUAGAAACAGCCUCCCUGCCACCACAGCACCAUUGCUCCCCCAAAGGCAAACUGUGCUCUCGGUGAACACUGCAGUCACAAUGUGGAAGCCAGUGUUUUCACACAGCACAAGGAGCUAUCAGUUUGGCUGGUCAGAGUGUAAGCAGUCCAAACCCACCUCAGGCCAGGGCCUUUCCACAGCUUGAACUCUUCCCCUGUGUGGGGGGAAGUUCCAGCUAGCAGUCUAUCUUGGCUUCCCCGAGAGGUCACUGCACGGCCAGGGUCCCAACCCCUUGAGCAUAAGGAAAAGGCAGCUCCAAAUAUUCCAUUGUGUUCAUAGAGAAGCCCAUUCCAUGCUUUUUCAUCCGUUUCUUCCUAAGAUUUUUCUACCUUGGUUUCCCUCUUCUCUUUGGCACCUUCUUUCAUCUGAAGACAUCCUCCAACCUGUCACAGAAAACUAGCACUAACCCACUGUCUCCUCUGCUCGCCCAGUCCACCCUCUCUCUCCAAGAUCCUUUUUUUUUUUGCCACCUCUCCUGGUUCCAGGAGCAGACCGACAGCACUGGUGUUCUGAUUAUGGUUAGAGCCCCCGUUUGUCCCUUGGACUUCCCCACCGCUAGUCAGACCAUGAGCUUCUCCCACUCCUAACAGAAGGCAGAGAUAGUCACGGGUCUUCAGCACCACCAAAUGGCUAGGCCAGUUCCUGUGGACCACAGGCGUGUGCCCAAAAUUUUAAGCCCUGUGGGGGACACCUGCCUCAGACCUGGAGUUGAGGAUAGAGGGCAGGUCCUGCCACAUCUGGGAUGCCUGGCCUAUAUGCUGGUGAGAAAAAAAUAAACAAGAAAAGAAGAACCAAGGGGAAGCCCAGGUUAUCUGGAACACAGAGACCUGUCCUCAGUGUUGACCUCAUGGUCUUCCUACUAAAGGCAGGAACAGAACAGUUGCAGGCACUGGGCCACACAGAGCCAAAGUCAUCAGCUGCCCAUGGUGGAGAGGAAGCAGCCCUCUGUAAUGGGACAAGUUCGGGGAUGCUGACAGCAGAGCUGAGUCCUGAGGCUGGCUCUCUCAGUCCUCUCUGCAAAUGCUGGCAAAGCACAGCUCCUUUUACACUGGGCGGCUGUGAAAAUAAUCGCAGGAUUGUGAGCAUGAAGUAAAGCCAUGAAACCGGUUAAGUCCUGGGCAAGGGUCAGAAGCCACAGCUAUGAGCAACCCUGUGCUGACUUAAGAAAGGAACAGCCAUGCUAGGGCUCACUGGAUGUUUGUUUACUGGUGCAUUACAGACGGGAUAGAGAAGCCCUCUUCUCAGUGGGCAUCAUGGAAUACAGAUGUGUACAGCUGUGCCCAGAAGGGGAGGAGCAGAAUGGCAGUGCCCUGGGCAGAUCCUGCCUGAACCUGGGUUCAUGGGGAUCAUGUAGGUUCCAGAAGUUCCAGAGUAGUGAUGAAGAAACAGACUUGGACAUCACAUGGAGAGCUUGGACUGGGUUAUCUUAAGCAAGGUUCUUUUGUCAAAUGUACUGAGUGUGUGGGGGGGGGCGUGUAUUUUAGCAUACAUGCCAUGUAACAUGUAUGGAGGGCAGAAGACAACCUCAUGGAGGGGUUCUCACAGGAAUCAAACUCAGGUUGCCAAGCUUGCAAGCUGAGCCGUCUUGUCAGCCUUUCCACACAGUUCUUAACAACCAUCUAGGAGUUAAGUUCUCAGAAAGUCUAGCAAUAACUAAGAUUAUAUGUGUGUGUGUGUACAUAUAUGUGUACAUGUAUAUAUGUGUAUGUAUGUACCUAGCAUUUAAGAAAUAUGUAACAAAAUUCUAGUUUUGAAAACUAGAGUCAAUUGCACACUAGAAGGCCCUUAGAAUGUGGUGGGAUGGUUUUCCAUGAGGCGAGUAAGCUCAUUGGCUACUAGUGUUGUUAUAACUAUCCGAUCGGUUCCUUCCGACUAGUAAUAGCGAGUGUACUAAUGUGCCUAUUAGCACCUACUGAGACCUUACUCACUGUCUACCAGGCACAGGGCUCAACACCUUGUACGGAUUAGUUAUGAGCUAGCCUCCAGGCUCUGAAGCUAAUAUAACCACCUGAUGAAGCCAGGAAGGCUUGCAUGCAGCUCUGCCUUCUCUGGGAUGUUUACUCCUCAAGUUUGGCACAUUUAUCAACCGCUGGCUCUGAGAAUUUCCACGUGUCAAGCAUGUGGAGUGUGUUUUGCUGCAUUUCACUUGGAUUGGUGAAUAAAAAUGCUCUGACCUCUCCAGAGUUCUUCUGGGUUUGCGGAGGAGGCUCAGGGGGCCCAGGGGCCAAAGUUGGCCAGAAUUAACCACAGCAAUGAACUGAGGAGAUUCCUCUAACCCAGGCCUGCUUCCUGGUGAGGGGUGCAUUCCAGCUAUGUCUCUUCCACAUCACGGCCCAAUCUUCCAGACAGCAGGCAAGUGUCUGCUUAAGCAGGAUCUCAGGGCAGGUCAUUCUGGAUUGUUUUUACAGUCUGGUCUGCUCACCGGAUAUCUGUAUAU